CGCACUAGUCGGGGAGAUAGCGGUGCCCUGUACCUGCAAUCCGCUACAGCAGGGAUGAAUCCCCGCCCCCGGUCCUUUGGCGUGUUGUCUGCCCUCUGUAAGCAGCGUUGACGAACCGGUCUUGCGCAACACGGUCCCGCGAACCAUGUCAGGCGGGAGACCGAGCAGCAUUAAACGGUGCGCCGUGUGUGCCGCGAGACAGCCGAUUCCGAGCCGGCUGCAGAGGUUCCGAACGGGUCGGAGCGAUCAAAGGCGGGUGUGC
rnacentral:SRP_RNA from 1 species